UACGAAGGGGGCUAGCGUUGUUCGGAAUUACUGGGCGUAAAGCGUGCGCAGGCGGCUUUCCAAGUCAGUGGUGAAAGCCCGGAGCUCAACUCCGGAAAUGCCAUUGAAACUGUGAAGCUUGAGAACGAGAGAGGUGAGUGGAAUUCCCAGUGUAGAGGCGAAAUCCGUAGAUAUUGGGAGGAACACCGAUGGCGUAGGCAGAUAACUGGCUCAUUCCUGACACUAAGGCACGAAAGCGUGGGGAGCAAACGGG
rnacentral:rRNA from 1 species